GGAUCCCAUCAGAACUCCGAAGUUAAGCGUGCUUGGGCGAGAGUAGUACUAGGAUGGGUGACCUCCUGGGAAGUCCUGGUGUUGCAUUCCCUUUUUUAAUUUUUUUUGCGCGUCGUGAAAACGAUAACGCACGUGCGUGAUAUAUAUGAAACCCGUUUUCUUAUCUUUGACGUUUGGGAUAUGUUUUAGCUUGCUGCUCAUUAUUCACGCGUCCCGGGGCGGCGUUGCGGCAAAAGCGCGUUCUCAAAGGGGUGGAAAAUACUUGUUGCUGCGGUAGAGAGGGAGGGGUGGAAACCGUGGUAAACUCGCCGCCGUAGUUGAGCGGGAGAGUAAGGAGCACAGUGCAUUAUCCAUUAUUAGGCAACGGUUGUAAUGGUAGUAAGAAUGUACAACCGUCUUUGUAGUGAACCAGGGAGGGGCAAGCAUAAGGGACGAAGGCGGGAGUAACAUGCCGGAUGCAAUCAUACCAGCACUAAAGCACC
rnacentral:rRNA from 1 species